CGAAGGGUGCUAGCGUUGUUCGGAAUCACUGGGCGUAAAGCGUGCGUAGGCGGCUUUCCAAGUCAGGGGUGAAAUCCUGGGGCUCAACCCCAGAAUUGCCUUUGAAACUGGAAAGCUAGAGUAUCGGAGGGGAUAGCGGAAUUCCUAAUGUAGAGGCAGAUGGAAUUCCGGGUGUAGCGGUGGAAUGCGUAGAGAUCCGGAAGGACACCAGUGGCGAAGGCGGUCUGCUGGGCAGUGGGAGCGCAAGCUCCUUUUUAGCCGACACUGAGGCGCGACAGCGUGGGGAGCAAACAGGAUUAGAUACCCUGGUAGUCCACGCCGUAAACGAUGGGCACUAGGUGCUUUGGGGAGCGACCCCCGGGGUACCGGCGCUAACGCAUGAAGUGCCCCGCCUGGGGAGUACGGCCGCAAGGCUG
rnacentral:rRNA from 1 species